CCUUUAGAAACAGAAGAUACAGACAAAAUUACAACAGCAAUUUUCUACUCAAUCAGUUUGACUCAGCAGGGACUGCAAGGUGUGGAACUUGGGACUUACCUCAUCAAGCGGGUUGUAAAAGAGCUGCAGAAGAAUUUAAAAGCACA